AUGCAAGUCGAGCGGUAUUUGGUAGCUUGCUACUANAGAGAGCGGCGUACGGGUGCGUAACAUGUGUGCAACCUACCCUUAUCANGGGGAUAGCCNUUCNAAAGGAUGAUUAAUNCCCUAUAAUAUAUCAGGUGGCAUCNUUUGAUAUUGAAAGCUACGGUGGAUAAGGAUGGGCACNCACAANAUUANCUAGUUGGUAAGGUAACGGCUUACCAAGGCGAUGAUCUUUAGGGGUCCUGAGAGGGAGAUCCCCCACACUGGGACUGANACACGGCCCAGACUCCUACGGGAGGCAGCAGUGAGGAAUAUUGGACAAUGGGUGGGANCCUGAUCCAGCCNUUCCGCGUGCAGGAANAAGGUCUUAUGGAUUGUAAACUGCUUUUAUAUAGGGAUAAACCUACUCUCGAGAGGGUAGCUGAAGGUACUAUAUGAAUAAGCACCGGCUAACUCCGUGC
rnacentral:rRNA from 1 species